CCUACGGGAGGCUGCAGUGGGGAAUAUUGCACAAUGGGCGAAAGCCUGAUGCAGCAACGCCGCGUGAGCGAUGAAGGUCUUCGGGUCGUAAAGCUCUGUCCCAAGGGAAGAAUACUGACGGUACCUUAGGAGGAAGCCCCGGCUAACUACGUGCCAGAGGCGGCGGAAAGAGGUAGGGGCCUAGCGUUAUCCGGAAUUACUGGGCGUAAGGGGUGCGUAGGCGGCCCUUCAAGUCAGGGGUGAAAGGCUACGGCUCAACCGUAGUAAGCCUUUGAAACUGUAGGGCUUGAGUGCAGGAGAGGAGAGUGGAAUUCCCAGUGUAGCGGUGAAAUGCGUAGAUAUUGGGAGGAACACCAGUUGCGAAGGCGGCUCUCUGGACUGUAACUGACGCUGAGGCACGAAAGUGUGGGGAGCGAACAGGAUUAGAUACCCUUGUAGUC
rnacentral:rRNA from 1 species